UACGUAGGGUGCGAGCGUUGUCCGGAAUUAUUGGGCGUAAAGAGCUUGUAGGCGGUCUGUCGCGUCUGCUGUGAAAAUCCGGGGCUCAACCCCGGACUUGCAGUGGGUACGGGCAGACUAGAGUGUGGUAGGGGAGACUGGAAUUCCUGGUGUAGCGGUGAAAUGCGCAGAUAUCAGGAGGAACACCGAAGGCGAAAGCAGGUCUCUGGGCCACUACUGACGCUGAGAAGCGAAAGCAUGGGGAGCGAACAGG
rnacentral:rRNA from 1 species